CAGAAGAAUCUUCUCAAGCUGGUGCAAUAGGUGGCGGUUUUGCUGCUGUUAUAAUAGUGUUAAUAGUUGUGGUGGCAUUUAUAGUUUACAAACGCAGAUUUUUGUUAACAAAAGAUUCGAGGAAGGAAACAAAUACGGGAAACGAUUAUGCAAAUGAAAAUGCAGCAGUAGUAUUUGAUGCACAGGAGGUCAAUGUGUCCUUGAAAGACAGAAGACAGAAUGGACUUCAAAUAGAAGACUAUGGAGAUGGAAACGUGUACAAUAAUGUACCUAGUAAACACAACGUUUUCAAAUACAAGAUACUUGUUGAAGAUCUGAAAGAGGCUAUAAAUGAGAAACAGAAA